ACGUUUUUCUUUGCAUAGUUGAAGCACAUAUCAUCCACUUCCGUUGCAAGGAAAUACCAGCCAUUUAAGGUUGUUCCAAGUAAAGGGUAAAUGCAGGAUGCCCCUGUACCUAUGUCAAUUCCACUUGAGUAUUUAUUCAAAGA